rnacentral:rRNA from 1 species
UACGUAGGGUGCAAGCGUUGUCCGGAAUUAUUGGGCGUAAAGGGCUCGUAGGCGGUCCAUCACGUCGGGAGUGAAAAGCUGGGGCUUAACCCCAGUCCUGCUUCCGAUACGGGUGGACUAGAGGUAGGUAGGGGAGAACGGAAUUCCUGGUGUAGCGGUGAAAUGACGCAGAUAUCAGGAGGAACACCGGUGGCGAAGGCGGUUCUCUGGGCCUUACCUGACGCUGAGGAGCGAAAGCGUGGGGAGCAAACGGG